AGAAGUUUUAGAACAUGUCCUUGGUUACUUAAAAUUGCACUUGAGCGCUCGAACUAAGAGAAGUGGAGAAAAUUAGGAGGGUAAGAAAUUGUUCGUGAAAUGCCAACCUUGGAGAAUUCCUGGACCCGGAAAGGUCGAAUUGGUGCCUUCCUCGGGAGUAUGGGUUGAAAGCCAGCAUCUUUCAAAUUUAACUUCUUCUUGGAAGAAAAAUCGUAAGGAGUUCAUUAGAAAAUUAUUGAAAUAGCAAGUAGGUGAGGAGAAGCUGAUCAAGAUGUGUGCAGAAGGAGGAAGUGAUGAGCACGAAGGACUCGAUCCUGUAUUAUACAAGGCGAUACACGAUUACGUAACGCUGCAUGCAGAAGACCCACCAGUAAAUUACAAUCGAGUUGUAAAUUUGAUGUGUGGUUCACUUCGCGCAGCGAAGAAGAGGGUGACUGAAAAAAAAACGCUGAAAAAUGAAAUAGAAAAAGCCUUAGAUGACAAAAAACAGGGCAGUAUAUGACCAUUGUCUAAGAAGGGGUCUCGACAACAGAAGAAAUCUAAAAAAUCAAAGGCUACCAUCUUGACUUCUCAUGAGAGUAUUUUAUCUAUCUCCUCAAAGAGUAGUCGCUCAAAUAUGGAAGAGAAAAUUAAUCACCUGGGUGGGACAAGUGAUUCACAUGCUCAGAAGAAGCGUCAAGCUAGACGAGAGUCUAAAGUUGAAGAAGGUUCUGAUAAUUCGGAGGUUCGGAAAUUCACUAGAUGGACUGACGGUAUGACGGGAAUAAAAGAUAAUUCAUCUCAUUCAUCAAAAUUCAACCAGAAGGAUUUGACCCUGCGAAUUACAAAUUACAUUUUUCGUAAUCAGUCAGGAGACUUUUCAGUUGAAUCUCAAUCGAGGUGCAGUUCGUUAACUAAAGACAUCAAAACGUCUACUCUAAGAAAGAAACUACAAAGAAAACGGCAUCUGAGUGAUGAUCAAUAUCUGCUUGGACAUCGUUCAUCCUCAUUCUUAUCAUCAUCAUUCAUUGUGGACUUGGCUUGGAAUAAUAUAAGCCCCAUAGCCUUAAAAAAGGCGAAGAAAGAUUCGUGUGAGACAGUUGUUUCAUAUUCCACUGAUGGUAAGACUAAAAAAGGGUCUGUAAGUGAAACCGUACAAGUUAAGUAGCCUUUGAGCCCUAAGAACUUGAAUCAAGAGGAACAAAAUUCAUGUAAAGUGUCGGCUAUUUCUUCUGCUGGUUCUCUUGACGUGAACAGAAAUAUCUCACAGCCAGCUCUGACAUCAAAUGUCGUGAAUAAUGGGAACAAAGAGAAUAGUUCACUCAUUCAGGGACUGCAAUCACUGCCCCCACAACAUCAAAAUGCACCCGGAAAUAUGCACUAUCAUCCUUGGAGUUUUCAAGACACUUUUAUGUACAAUUCGGGAUUCCCUCAACCAGCACAAUAUUAUCCUUAUAAUAAUAAUAAUUAUGUAGGUAGCGACGUUCAGUCAACGGAGAAUUUUCAGGCUAACUAUUAUGGGCCACCUAUGCCUCAGGAUAAUCGUUUCGGUACAUACACCAAUGAGUUCAGGUACCAAAAUCUUUAAAAAUGGUCAAGAGUCUAUUGCUUUAAAUGGUAAGUUUUACGUUUAAAAAAGAUUGCAAUGUGAGUGGAUCAUACCAUAAGUAUUUGCAAAACGACCCAUGUUACUUUAGGAGAAAAGUGUAUAUGACUAGUGGAGAAUGAUUGGAAAAUCACACGGGAAAGUUUUAAAACCUUGUCAGAUGUAAUUUUGGUAAUGAAACGUUUAGUUGCUGUUUUGGCUUCCUCUUAACGAUUAUUAUAAUUAUCAUUUUGGUCUGGUUAAAAAAAAACGUUCUAUCCGUUUAAUAUUGUACUUUAGUACUUUAAUUUUAUGUUUAUGUUAA